rnacentral:lncRNA from 1 species
UGCACCCAAAGACGAGGAGCCUCCUGCUUCUGCUCCACGCCAGGCUGGAGGCUGCUGCUUGCUCUUGCUUUCCCUGCGUGAAAGAAGAACCCUUGGGAAAGGAGUGGUGGGUACCAGCUUUGCAGAGCGGAGGAAGUUUGUCCCAUGGAAGUGAGCAUCUCUGAGCUGCCGUGGGUUGGUGGAGAACAUCUCAGAGCUUGUAAUCAGUGCCUCAUAAAUCACCGCUGACUGCCGGGAUCGCUUUGGCCGCUCUUCCCCAUCGUCCUGUCUGCAGGAAUGGGCUGCAUGUUUCCACGUGGAUCGGGUCUGAAUUGGCUGUCUGAACCCAGAGAUUAAAGAAACAGCAGCCUCUCUCUCUCCUGUAACUGGUUUGUUUCACAAAGGCUAAAAAUGGCAUUGCGUAAUACAGUGUGAUAAUCUUUCCUUCUCCUCUCCUCUCCUCUCCUCUCCUCUCCUCUCC